AUUGAACGCUGGCGGCAUGCUUUACACAUGCAAGUCGAACGGUAACAGGCCUUCGGGCGUUGACGAGUGGCGAACGGGUGAGUAAUGCAUCGGAACGUGCCCAGUCGUGGGGGAUAACGCAGCGAAAGCUGUGCUAAUACCGCAUACGAUCUAUGGAUGAAAGCGGGGGACCGUAAGGCCUCGCGCGAUUGGAGCGGCCGAUGUCAGAUUAGGUAGUUGGUGGGGUAAAGGCCCACCAAGCCAACGAUCUGUAGCUGGUCUGAGGGGACGACCAGCCACACUGGGACUGAGACACGGCCCAGACUCCUACGGGAGGCAGCAGUGGGGAAUUUUGGACAAUGGGCGCAAGCCUGAUCCAGCAAUGCCGCGUGCAGGAAGAAGGCCUUCGGGUUGUAAACUGCUUUUGUACGGAACGAAAAGGUCUGGGUUAUACCCUGGGCACAUGACGGUACCGUAAGAAUAAGCACCGGCUAACUACGUGCCAGCCGCCGCGGUAA
rnacentral:rRNA from 1 species